rnacentral:rRNA from 1 species
UACGUAGGGUGCGAGCGUUGAAUCGGAAUUACUGGGCGUAAAGCGUGCGCAGGCGGUUAUGUAAGACAGUUGUGAAAUCCCCGGGGCUCAACCCUGGGGAAGUUGCAUCUGUGACUGCAUAGCUAGAGUACGGUAGAGGGGGAUGGAAUUCCGCGUGUAGCAGUGAAAUGCGUAGAUAGUGCGGAGGAACACCGAUGGCGGAAGGCAAUCCCCUGGACCUGUACUGACGCUCAUGCACGAA